rnacentral:lncRNA from 10 species
AGAAGGGUUAUCUGAGGACACCACCCCUGAAAUGAGGCUUAAAGAUGACUAAAUUGGCCCCAAAGGGGAGGAAGUACAGUCUUCAAAGAGCACCCAGAGCAGAUGCAAAGGGAAGAAGAGACCACAGAAUGGGGUGUGUGAGGAGUUAAAUAUGCAAGGGAUGGAUGACUACAGGUUUUGCAUGCCAAGCUAAACAGUUGGACUUUAUUUUGGAAGCAGCAGGAGUCACUGAAAGACACCUGAGCUCAGAAGCCACCAUAUUGGGUUAGUUUUCAGUAACUACUGCUCUGGCUGAGAUGAGGAAAACGACUUGCCUUGCCUAGAGGAGGAGGAAUGUGGAAGAAGGAGAUCCUAAGAGGGUGUUUCAGUGCACAGCAGGUGAUCAAGCAAAGCCUCAGCCUGAGGGAGGGGGAGCAAGAACAUGGCUUACUCCCCUGGUGCUAAAAAGUGCUGAACAAGGCAACCCCAUCAGCGGCUGGGAGCAACUCUCAUGACAAAACACUGCAUUUUAUCAGAUCUGAGAUCUCACUGAUCACAAACAUACAUUAUUUUACAUACUACAGAGAAAGGAAAAGCAUGCAAGAUGGGAUUUUUUUUUUUUUUUUUGGAAACAGUUGUGCCCUGUUGCCCAGGCUGGAGUGCGGUGGCAUGAUCUUGGCUCACUGCAACCUCACCUCCUGGGUUCAAGUGAUUCUCCUGCCUCAGCCUCCUGAGUAGCUGGGAUUACAGGCGCCCAUCACCAUGCCCAGCUAAUUUUUUGUAUUUUUAGUAGAGAUGGGGUUUCGCCAUGUUGGCCAGGCUGGUUUUGAACUCCUGGCCUCAAGUGAUCUGCGCACUUUGACCUCCCAAAAUGCUAGGAUUACAGGAGUGAGCCACCAUGCCCGGCCCAAGAUGGUAAACUGAACAGGUAUCAGGGACCACUUGAAUCCAGGGAACCAAAUGGCCACAAAGAAACCCGCCAUGCAGAAAGGGAUGGCAAAGAGCCUUGGAUGUUUCAACCUGGGAACUGGGCAGAGAGGGGAGGAAUCUCCCCUGAAGAUUUGAAUCCUAAGUCAGUAGUUACUCUCAUUUGCAUUCUGAACUCACCACCACUGUGGUUCAAGUGCCCUCAAGCAGGGAAUCUAAACUUUGGUCUUAGUUUACCAGCACCUCAAGUGACGAGCAGAGGCAGACACUGAAGAAAUGAACUUCCAUGGCAACUUUAAGAUGUAUACUGAUUUCAGAUGUUAACUAUUAAAAUACGUACAUCUGUGAAUAUAAAUACAGGAACCCCCCCUACUGGGAGGCCCAUUACAGGAGUUAUUCAGGAUUUGGAACUAAGAAUACCAAAGUUAGGAAGAAGGCAAGACAGAAACCAAAGUCUCAAAAACAAGAUGAGGUCUGACAAGUUACCCACUGAAGGGAAUGAAAGCACACUGGAGACAGGCAGAGUCAAUCAAGACUCUGCAGCCAGGAGCAGGUUGAAGACGAGCAGGCUGAGGCUUAGUGCUACAGCUCCGUCCACUUGUUUUCGGACUUCAAGAGUCAGGAGAGAAGCUAUCCCAGCUUCAAUUCCUCAUCAAUAAGAUGCAGGAAAUACUCUCUAGGAUUACUGAGGAAAUGAAAUAAGCAACUGUAUUUUAAGUGUUUUAUAUACUGUAAAAGCAUUGUGCCAAUAAAAUUAUACUUGUUAUUCUAGAUACAAAUAUUCUGAAUGCUCCUUUAGUCAGAUUCUGUGUUUUUCUUUUUUUUUUGUUGUAAUUUUCACUUAGCGGGGGCUGUAUAUAAAUCAAGCCCUUAGUAAAUUUUUAUUUAGUGAAUAUAUAAAUACUGCCAGCAUCUGGCCCUAGCCCUAUUUGGCCUAAAAUUCCUGAGGGCUGGUUAUCACUAUUGCUGAAAAUAGAAAGGGAAAAACAAGAACAAAACCCACCAAUCCAAGACAGGAUAUACUUGUGCUUAAUUAAACAAGCACACAGCACUCUCCCAUCCACCCUCUGGUCCCCCUGAAACUCAUACCUGCAAAACCAAGAUACGAGCUGGAAUGACAUGAUGCUUUCAAAAUAGCAGACUGAAGAAGACUCCAGAAGACAACUUUACAAUGUAUUAAACAAGAUAAAAGGCAGCUUCAAAACAAGAAGAUUGUUCAUUACUGGCAAAAACACCCUCAACACCAUCAAAGAGCAGCUUUGGAGAAGAGAUUAAAUUCUAGGUCCCCAG